rnacentral:rRNA from 1 species
CCUACGGGUGGCAGCAGUGAGGAAUAUUGGUCAAUGGGCGUAAGCCUGAACCAGCCAAGUCGCGUGAGGGAUGAAGGUUCUAUGGAUCGUAAACCUCUUUUAUAAGGGAAUAAAGUGCGGGACGUGUCCCGUUUUGUAUGUACCUUAUGAAUAAGGAUCGGCUAACUCCGUGCCAGCAGCAGCGGUAAUACGGAGGAUCCGAGCGUUAUCCGGAUUUAUUGGGGUUAAAGGGUGCGUAGGCGGCCUUUUAAGUCAGCGGGGAAAGUCUGUGGCUCAACCAUGGAAUUGCCGUUGAAACUGGGAGGCUUGAGUAUGUUUGAGGCAGGCGGAAUGCGUGGUGUAGCGGUGAAAUGCUUAGAUAUCACGCAGAACCCCGAUUGCGAGGGCAGCCUGCCAAGCCAUGACUGACGCUGAUGCACGAAAGCGUGGGGAUCAAACAGGAUUAGAUACCCUAGUAGUC